rnacentral:rRNA from 1 species
GAGAAAGAGGAGAAGAGCGAACGGAGGAUGCCUAGGCUUCCGGAGGCGAUGAAGGACGUGGUAAGCUGCGAUAAGCUGCGGGGAACUGCAAACAGGUUUUGAUCCGCAGAUUUCCGAAUGGGGCAACCCGGCCGGUUGAAGACCGGUCACCAGAAUUAAUCUGGAGCAAACCCGGGGAACUGAAACAUCUUAGUACCCGGAGGAAGAGAAAGAAAAGUCGAUGUCCUGAGUAGUGGCGAUCGAAAGGGACGUAGCCCAAACCGUUGCGUUUACGGACGCGGCGGGGUUGUAGGAGUUCUCACAAAGUCGAAACAUCUGAACUGGAAGCGCCCGGAAAGGCGCGGCGCAGAGGGUGACACCCCCGUACAGGCAAGGAUGUGGGACGAGAGAGCCACCUGAGUAGGGCGGGACACGUGGAAUCCUGUCUGAAUCUGCGGGGACCAUCCCGCAAGGCUAAACACUUCCGGAAGACCGAUAGUGUACCAGUACCGUGAGGGAAAGGUGGGAAGCACCGCGAACAGGGGAGUGAAAGAGAACCUGAAACCGUUCGUUUACAAGCGGUCGGAGCCAGCGAUGGCGACGGCGUGCCUUUUGCAUAAUGAGCCUACGAGUUGCAUCACGUCGGCGAGGUUAAG